rnacentral:rRNA from 1 species
UAUUAAAGUUGUUGCAGUUAAAAAGCUCGUAGUUGGACUUCAGAGUGAGCUCAUACGGUCGGCCUAAUGGGUCAGAACUGGGUGACUUUCUCUUGCUUGUGGAUCCCGUCCGGAGUUAACUCUUCGGAUGUGGACUCCACAUCGUUUACCUUGAAAAAAUUAGAGUGUUCAAAGCGGGCGUUUGCUUGAAUAUAUUAGCAUGGAAUAAUGGAAUAGGACCCUGGUUCUAUUUUGUUGGUUUUGAGAACCAGAGUAAUGAUUAAUAGGGAUAGUUGGGGGCAUUCAUAUUUCAUUGUCAGAGGUGAAAUUCUUGGAUUUAUGAAAGAUGAACUUCUGCGAAAGCAUUUGCCAAGGAUGUUUUCAUUAAUCAAGAACGAAAGUUAGGGGAUCGAAGACGAUCAGAUACCGUCGUAGUCUUAACCAUAAACUAUGCCGACUAGGGAUUGGGCGUGGUUUGUUCAUUGACCCGCUCAGCACCUUACGAGAAAUCAAAGUCUUUGGGUUCCGGGGGGAGUAUGGUCGCAAGGCUGAAACUUAAAGGAAUUGA